AGGACGAACGCUGGCGGCGUGCUUAACACAUGCAAGUCGAACGGGGAUAAGUUGGAAAGGCUUCGGCCCGGAAGACUUAAUUCGAGUGGCGGACGGGUGAGUAACGCGUGAGCAACCUGUCCCAGACAGGGGGAUAACACUUGGAAACAGGUGCUAAUACCGCAUAAGACCACGGGGUCACAUGGCACUGGGGUAAAAGGAGCAAUCCGGUUUGGGGUGGGCUCGCGUCCGAUUAGAUAGUUGGUGAGGUAACGGCCCACCAAGUCGACGAUCGGUAGCCGACCUGAGAGGGUGAUCGGCCACAUUGGAACUGAGAGACGGUCCAAACUCCUACGGGAGGCAGCAGUGGGGAAUAUUGGGCAAUGGGCGAAAGCCUAACCCAGCAACGCCGCGUGAGUGAAGAAGGCCUUCGGGUUGUAAAGCUCUGUUAUAGGGGACGAAGGAAGUGACGGUACCCUAUAAGGAAGCCCCGGCUAACUACGUGCCAGCAGCCGC
rnacentral:rRNA from 1 species